GGCUCAGCCGUGGGAAAUAUGAGUGAGCAUGUAAGAACAAGAUCCCAAUCCUCAGAAAGAGGAAAUGACUAAGAGUCUUCCCAGCCAGUUGUAUCUGUGAUUGUCCAGCAGCCCACUGAGGAAAAACGUCAAGAAGAGGAGCCACCAACUGAAAAUCAGGGUAUUGCACCUACUGGGGAGAUCGAAAAUGAAGCGGCACCUGCCCUUCAAGGACCUGAUGUGGAAGCUUUUCAACAGGAACUGGCUCUGCUUAAGAUAGAGGAUGCACCUGGAGAUGGUCCUGAUGUCAGGGAGGGGACUCUGCCCACUUUCGAUCCCACUAAAGUGCUGGAAGCAGAGGUAAUGGGCAACCAUAGGUUUAAACCAAGACAAAUGAAGACUGAAACCAAGAAUGUUGUUCUUAUGCUGGAAAUUUGACUGCUAACAUUCUCUUAAUAAAGUUUUACAGUUUUCUGCA
rnacentral:lncRNA from 1 species